GGUGGGAUGGCCGAGCGGUCUAAGGCGCCAGACUAAGGAACCACAUCAUAUGAUGAUGAAUCAAUCUGGUCCGAAAGGGCGGGAGUUCGAAUCUCCCUUCCAUCA
rnacentral:tRNA from 1 species